AGGGAAGCUGGACACUGAUGCUUGUCUUCAACUACCACUCAUGGCAACUACUAAACCCUCACGCCUUCCGGAACCUUCUCAAAGCAUGCAUAUCGGAAAGAAACCUUUUAGCAGGGAAAGCCCUUCACGCACUCUUCUUCAAAUCCCACAACAACAACAAUGAUAACAUUACCACCUACCUCUCUAACCAUUUCACCAUUCUCUAUUCCAAAUGCGGCACUCUACGCAAUGCCAGAACUGCAUUUGACCUCACUGAACACCCCAAUGUGUUCUCCUACAAUGCCAUCAUCAAUGCCUAUGCCAAACACUCCCUUCCCCACAUUGCCCGCCAGCUGUUCGACCAAAUUCCCCAACCGGACCUUGUUUCCUACAACACCCUCAUUAGUGCGUAUGCCGAGCGCGGCGACUGUGAGCAGGCACUGGGCUUGCUCCGGUUGGUCAGAGAGAAGUGCAUUGCCAUCGACGGGUUCACCCUCUCCGGCGUCAUAGAUGCUUGCUGCGGCCGUGGCGUGGGGUUGAUCAGGCAGCUACAUUGCUUCGUGGUGAUGGGUGGGUUUCAUUCUUAUGCUUCUGUUAACAAUGCCAUCCUCACGAGUUAUAGCAAGGAGGGAUUCUUGGGUGAGGCGAAACGGGUGUUUCAUGAGAUGGGGGUUGGUGGGAGGGAUGAGGUUUCUUGGAACUCGAUGAUAGUGGCUUGCGGGCAACACCGUGAGGGAUGGGAUGCGCUGGCACUGUUCUGUGAGAUGGUUAUGAUGGGAUUGGAGGUUGACAUGUUCACUAUGGCUAGUGUGUUGACUGCCUUUACUUCCCUCAAGGAUUUGGCAGGGGGGAUGCAGUUUCAUGCUAAGAUGAUUAAGAGUGGAUUCCACAGGAAUACUCAUGUAGGGAGUGGAUUGAUUGACUUGUACUCUAAGUGUGCAGGGGGCAUGUUAGAGUGCAAGAAGGUGUUUGAAGAGAUUACUGCACCAGAUUUGGUUCUAUGGAACACAAUGAUUUCUGGAUAUUCCCAGAAUGAGGACUUGUCUGAGGAUGCCCUCUGUUGUUUUCGCAAGAUGCAGCGUGUUGGCUUUCGUCCAGAUGAUUGUAGUUUCGUGUGUGUGGUUAGUGCUUGCUCUAAUUUACCUCCCUCAGUAGGAAAUCAAGUUCACGCGUUGACAAUCAAAUCUGACAUCCUUUAUAAUCGUGUUUCGGUGAAUAAUGCUCUUGUUGCAAUGUAUUCUAAAUGUGGGAAUCUUCAGGAUGCGAGAAAGAUUUUUGAUACUAUGCCAGAACACAACACGGUAUCACUGAAUUCAAUGAUAGCAGGUUACGCACAGCAUGGUCUUGAGGCUGAGUCACUAUGGCUUUUUGAACUGAUGCUGCAAAAGGAUAUUGCCCCAAAUAACAUAACCUUCAUAUCUGUUCUUUCUGCAUGCGCACACACAGGGAAAGUUGAGGAAGGUCAGAAAUAUUUCAAUAUGAUGAAGGAGAAGUUUGGGUUUGAACCAGAGGCAGAACAUUAUUCAUGCAUGAUAGAUCUUUUGGGUCGUGCGGGCAAACUCAAGGAAGCUGAGAGGAUUAUUGAGACGAUGCCAUUUAAUCCUGGCUCUAUUGAAUGGGCUGCUUUACUUGGAGCAUGUAAGAAACAUGGAAAUGUGGAUCUUGCAGUGAAAGCAGCCAGUGAGUUUGUCCGGAUUGAACCUUAUAGUGCUGUUCCAUACGUGGUACUUUCUAAUAUGUAUGCCAGUGCUGGCAGAUGGGAAGAGGCUGCGACACUUAAGAAGCUGAUGCGUGAAAGAGGAGUGAAGAAGACACCGGGUUGUAGCUGGAUUGAGAUAGAUAAGAAAGUGCAUGUCUUCGUGGCUGAAGAUACUUCACAUCCAAUGAUAAAAAAGAUUCAUGAGUAUAUGGGAGAGAUGUUAAAGAAGUUGAAACAAGCAGGUUAUGUUCCUGAUAUAAGAUGGGCAUUGAUGAAAGAUGAAGAAGCAGUAACGGCAGAAGAGAAGGAAAGAAAAUUAUUGUAUCAUAGUGAGAAACUGGCUGUUGCAUUUGGCUUGAUCUGUACUGAAGAAGGGGUGCCAAUACUGGUUGUGAAGAACCUAAGAAUUUGUGGUGAUUGCCACAACGCCAUAAAAAUUAUUUCAGCCAUUUCUGGUAGGGAAAUCACUGUUAGAGAUACUCACAGGUUUCAUUGCUUUAAAGAUGGACAAUGUUCAUGCAGAGAUUAUUGGUGAUAAUAUAAUCGAAGGUGCUACACUGCUACUUUACCGGGAAUUUGAGUUGUGCUACCAUGACUUAUAGAUCUACUAAGCAGCCAAGCUAAACUGAAUGUUUGCAGGGCUUACUUGCAGAAUCCUACUAAAGAGUUGUACACAAGAUGGUCUUGAAGCUGAACUGCGACAGCUUCUCAAACUGAUGCUGCAAAAGGAUAUUUUCUCUAAAAACAUAACCUUCAUAUAUGUUCAUACACGUGUUGGGUGGUGCAACCAAAGCAUCCAAUGAAUUCCUACAGCAGGAACCUUAUAAGGCUGCUCCCUAUGGGGUCCUUUAGAAUAUGCAUGCUAAUGCUGGUGAAUUAGGAAGAGGCCUAC